AAGGCGUAAAAGCUGGUUUUUCCGACCGAACCAUCAACAUCAUCAUCAAGCUCGUUAUCACGCUCUCUCUUUGUGUUGCAUAUUAUCGCAUAUUAUAUUUACAUUUAUUAAGCUUCGUGUGGGCAUAUGUUGUGCGCACACACACACACAGACACACAGAUACAGACAGUUCUAUUUAAAACAAACAAUUCUCAGUAAACUCACCGGUGGUGGCAACCAGCUGAUUCGUGGGUGCGGGAUUUUAAAUAAAAGCUGCCAGACGACGAGAGCGCGCGCGUAUUCGAGAACCUAACGCGGGCGCCUAAACGUGCGUGGUGUAUUGUUGUUUAUUGUUUUGUCUAUUCGCUAGGCGGAGUGGUGUGCGUAGUACGUUGCAAAAAACUGAAAAUAGAACAACCACCGACUUUUUUUUUGUGUGUGCUCCGGGGUUUUUUGGCGAGUAAGGAACAAAAAGCUUUCCCUACCAUGAACAACAACAUCAACGGACAGGUGGAUGGACAGAAUGUGGUGGAUUAUUCUUCGCUAGAUAGUUCCGUAAAGGAGUUGAUCGAGGCAGCUAUUCAGGUGCGGAACAACGCCUACUGUCCAUAUAGCAACUUUCCGGUGGGAGCGGCGCUAAGAACGACUACGGGUGACAUAGUGACCGGGUGUAACGUGGAAAAUGGCACGUUUGGACCGUCGGUCUGUGCCGAGCGGACGGCCGUCUGCACCGCUAUCAGUGCCGGACAUCGGGAGUUUACCGCGGUGGCAGUGGCAGCUUAUCAGGAGACAGAGUUUACGGCCCCCUGCGGCACAUGCCGUCAGACGCUGGCGGAAUUCAGCGCCAAAGAUAUCCCCAUCUAUCUUGUCAAGCCCGCACCGGUGAGGGUCAUGAUAACGUCGCUAUUCAAACUGCUACCGCAUGCCUUCUCGCCCACCUUUUUAAACAACAAAUAGUCCGUAUUAUCGGCAUGCGCCACGUUUUUCGGUGGGUGUGGCGCACAAACCGCAUUCGACAACUUAACAGCACAGCACAUAUAAAUCUAAAACCGAUGUAUAGCAGCUAUAAUACAUACGUGCUUGGUGAGAGCAAGCAGCUUUACGCAAACGCUUACGUGUGUGCUACCAUUUAUUGCUCGCUCGAUCUACUUCCAUCUACUCCAUCUGCAGGGCCUUGUCUCUGCCGUCACGGUCCUUGAGGAAUUUCAGCUGGUCCAAAUACUCCGUGUAGAUGCGUUGCCACUUGGUUUGCAUUUUCAGGUGGUUCAGCACGUCCUCCAUAAACACAUGCUUCGAGAUGCCCAGCACGGCCGGAUCGUUAUCGUCGCCCAUGCGCGUGUCCAGGCUGUGCGAUGCGCCCAGCAGAUCGUCCAACACUUGGCGGAUCUUUUCCUCGCUGCCGUUCAGUGCUAAUUGGAAGCCCAGCAUCGAGUACCAGUACUUGAGCUCGGCCGGUGACGUAAUCAUUUCGCAGAUUUUUAUUUGAUUUUCGAUAAACGCUAUCGCGGCGGACGUUUGCCAGGGUGCCGAGUGCCUGAAAGAGAAAGCGGAAUGAAAGCAACGUAAACGAUAAACAGUACGUGGCUACGUGUGAAUCGGCACGACGUACAUUUCGGCAAAGCUGUUGACUUUCGGUCCGGAAAAGCUGCCGUACGAUUGGAUCGUUGACAGGGGGUACGCUUUGAUGUUUCUCACUGGGGCGUUCGCUUUGUUGCCUAUCAGACCGUGCCGUAUGACGGGAUCGGACGAGUUGAUUAGCAUCCAGCUAUCAAGCUUCCGGCAGUAGCAGUAGGAUGUUCCGUUCGACAGCACUAUGAAGGGCAUGCCCUGGUCGGAUACGUGCAGGAUGGUGACAAAACCUGAAACCAGUGGCAAAUUAUUAAAUCAAAAUAUGGCACUCGGCCUUGCUAAUCUCAUCGUGCGUACUUCCGCUCAUAACUUCUGCACAGUUUGUCGAGAGUAGAACAGAUUUUUCCGGCACAUUCCAGAUGCGAAGGAUGCCGCUUUCGGUAACUACUGCGGCCAGCUUGGAGUUUGAACUCUGGAAAAAAGAGAAGAAAAAGUUCAUUACAUCAAGGUCAAUUCCCUUUCCGAUGAUAUACUCACAAAGGUACACUGUACGGCUGGGCUUGUUAGACUGAGCACCGGGAACACAGGGGUGCCCGUCUUGUUGUCCAACAUUCUGAUCGUGUGGUCUUGGCUGCAAACGAGCGCACAUUUGGCUGCAACCGCGAAGCAAACUACCGGCGAACCGACCACGGUCUCCCAGACCUUUCUCUCCACACGCUGAGCAUUCACGACGAGCCCGACCACACGGCACAGCGUUCCGUACGCCGUUUUAACGCUGUUAUUAUGCACCUGUACCCUUACCUCUCCAAACGCUUUGAAGGAGUUGCCCUGGAUGACGGUCGCUUUGCCCGUAGAGUAAGUGACGGGUCUCGUACGUUCAACCAGCUUCUGGUUCGAUGCUGGCUGACUCGAGCUUGAACCAGUCGUUUGUUCGGUUGAGCCCGCCGAUGCAUCUGCUUUCUGCGGUGGUACAGUGGCGAUUCGUUUCAACCGGUUAUCCAGCUUGGAAGAUGGUUCGGUCGGUAGCGGAACAGUUGGCUCUUCGCUUACGAGCUGUUUCGGCUCCACGCUCACACUGUUCUCGCUCGAUUUGCUGCCAAAUUCAAUCGCCGUCGGCAUGUUGUUGGUGGCAUUCGACGGAACACCAUUAUCGUCGUUCAGCGGAAUGAACAUCGGGGUAAUUCUACGCUUGCCGUCCGCCGUCUUCGUUUCGAUUUGUUUGAGAAUGGGUGUGGGGGCCGCUAAGCUGGAAGAAGACUGAAUGGCCAUAGACAUCGGUGCGGCGGCAGCAGUGGCUUGGGACGAUUUACCCUCAUCCCUUUUCGCUCCCAGCUGUGGCGGCUGUGGCGGGACUAAGGUCGGUGGAACGAGAUUACUUUUCAAAACGUUCAAAAAGUCUGAAUUUUCCACAAUCAUUUCCUUCUCCGCCUGUGCCGUUAGAUCAAUGUUGGCAUUCUUGCCGUACAUGCGCUGAUAGAGGAUGUUUUUGUCCUCUUCGGAGAGUGGC